rnacentral:misc_RNA from 1 species
GAGGACUACAGAAGGACUCAUCCAGAAGUUACUGUUCUCGAUCCUCCAGAUGCAAUUCAACAUUUACACAAUCGCCAGUCUAUGCUUCAGUGUGUUGCUGAUAUGAAUUUGUCAAACUCCUAUGGUAAAGUAGAUGUUCCCAGGCAAUUAGUUAUCAAAAAAGAUGCAGCAUCCAUCCCUGAUGCAGUCACAAAAGCUGGGCUGAUGCUACCAAUUGUUGCAAAGCCACUAGUUGCCGAUGGGAGUGCAAAGUCCCAUGAAUUAUCACUUGCUUAUGAUCAGCCCUCCCUUCAGAAACUUGAACCUCCACUUGUUCUUCAGGAGUUUGU